GGACAACCUGCCCUCGGGUGGGGGAUAACCCCGGGAAACUGGGGCUAAUCCCCCAUAGGGGAUGGGUACUGGAAUGUCCCAUCUCCGAAAGCGCUUAGCGCCCAAGGAUGGGUCUGCGGCGGAUUAGGUUGUUGGUGGGGUAACGGCCCACCAAGCCGAAGAUCCGUACGGGCCAUGAGAGUGGGAGCCCGGAGAUGGACCCUGAGACACGGGUCCAGGCCCUACGGGGCGCAGCAGGCGCGAAACCUCCGCAAUGCGGGAAACCGCGACGGGGUCAGCCGGAGUGCUCGCGCAUCGCGCGGGCUGUCGGGGUGCCUAAAAAGCACCCCAUAGCAAGGGCCGGGCAAGGCCGGUGGCAGCCGCCGCGGUAAUACCGGCGGCCCGAGUGGCGGCCACUUUUAUUGGGCCUAAAGCGUCCGUAGCCGGGCUGGUAAGUCCUCCGGGAAAUCUGGUCGCUUAACGAUCAGACUGCCGGAGGAUACUGCCAGCCUAGGGACCGGGAGAGGCCGGGGGUAUUCCCGGGGUAGGGGUGAAAUCCUGUAAUCCCGGGAGGACCACCUGUGGCGAAGGCGCCCGGCUGGAACGGGUCCGACGGUGAGGGACGAAGGCCAGGGGAGCGAACCGGAUUAGAUACCCGGGUAGUCCUGGCUGUAAACGAUGCGGACUAGGUGUCACCGAAGCUACGAGCUUCGGUGGUGCCGGAGGGAAGCCGUUA
rnacentral:rRNA from 1 species